UUUCUGACAACACAUAUCUCAACGCUCUGUAUUUGGUUUUCCUGUUAGUGCCUCCGACUAGGUUCUCUAAAUAUUCUACAAUCGGUUUCCUCCAGUCUGUUGGGGAUGAUUUGUUGACAGUGAAAACUCCAUGUUCCCAGGACUUCUUGAGUCCAUAGGCUUCCUGACAUUCUUUGUCUAGCCCUUCAUUACGAUUGUUAUUCCUGUCGAGGAUAUCUUCUGUUAGUGGUGGUGUGUUU
rnacentral:lncRNA from 1 species